rnacentral:rRNA from 1 species
CCUACGGGUGCUGCAGUGGGGAAUAUUUGGCAAUGGGCGCAAGCCUGACCCAGCACCGCCGCGUGAAGUAAGAAGGCUUUCGGGUUGUAAACUUCUUUUGUCAGGGAAGAGUAGAAGACGGUACCUGACGAAUAAGCACCGGCUAACUACGUGCCAGCAGCCGCGGUAAUACGUAGGUGCCAAGAGUGUUCCGGAUUUACUGGGUGUAAAGGGCGUGUAGCCGGGUUGAAAAGUCAGAUGUGAAAUCCUGCGGCUGAACCGCAGAACUGCAUUUGAAACUGUUUAUCUUGAGUACUGGAGAGGCAGACGGAAUUCCUAGUGUAGAGGUGAAAUGCGUAGAUAUUAGGAGGAACACCAGUGGCGAAGGCGGUCUGCUGGACAGCAACUGACGGUGAGGCGCGAAAGCGUGGGGAGCAAACAGGAUUAGAUACCCUUGUAGUC